GUCUUUGCGCGUGGGACAAUGACACAACUAGUGAGGUAUUUAUUGAGAUCCGUCCAUUGCUGGUUGAAAACUAUUUCUAAACCCCCUCCGAGCCUAGAUUAAAACCCAGGCCUUAGAGAAUUUCUAGAAGGGCUCCCUUUUUCGGUAAAGCC